rnacentral:rRNA from 1 species
CGGGGGGGGGGGGCAAGCGUUGUUCGGAAUUACUGGGCGUAAAGGGCGCGUAGGCGGUCCCGCAAGUCCUCCGUGAAAUCCCACAGCUCAACUGUGGAACUGCGAGGGAAACUGCAGGACUUGAGUCCGGGAGAGGAGAGUGGAAUUCCCAGUGUAGCGGUGAAAUGCGUAGAUAUUGGGAGGAACACCGGUGGCGAAGGCGGCUCUCUGGACCGGUACUGACGCUGAGGCGCGAAAGCUAGGGGAGCAAACGGGAUUAGAUACCCCGGUAGUCCUAGCCUUAAACGAUGAGCACUUGGUGUGGCGGGUAUCGACCCCUGCCGUGCCGAAGCUAACGCAUUAAGUGCUCCGCCUGGGGAGUACGGUCGCAAAGGCUG